UUUUGGGGGGCCCAGGACAGCGCUGGGGGGUCUGUGGGGACCAGGAAGCGUAUAGGGGCGCCUGGGGGUUUAUUGGGCGUAACGGGGCGGGGACCCCCCAAGCCCGUGGGAACGGGGCUCCCCUGUCUUCGCCUUCCCGCGGCCGACGUGGCGCGUCAGCGGCUGCCCCUGAGCUCCCGCAAGGCCUCGUGCGGCCCCGCCUCCCGUUGGCCGCUGGGCCCGCGCCGCUUUGCUCGCCUCCUGGACUACAACUCCCGAAAGGCCGCGAGGCCCCGUAGGGCGCUGUUGAGCCGGGACUGCGGUUCCCGUCGUGCCCCGCGGCCCCUGAGAGUCCCGUCAGAGCCGGGCCUGGCCCCGCAGCGCCGACCCGGCUGCUCCCCAAGUGCUUCCCUCGGCCGUAAGUCCGUAAGUGCUCCUCCGGGGCCCCCUAAGUACCCCCGGUUUCCCUCUUCUGACCCUCAAGUUCCCCUCAGGGUCCCUAAGUCCGCUCGACCCCCGUCCCCUGCUUGCCCCCAAAAUGCCCCCUUCGUGUACCCUCGGACCCCCAAGUGCUUUCCAACUGCCUCCCCGACCCCUAAGUGCCCCUCCAGACCCUCUAAUGAUCCUGCAAGCACUCCCAACUGGAUUCCAAGCGCCCUUCGAGUGUCUCCCAGGAACUGGCGUGAUGACGACGAUGUAGAGAAAGACCCUGCCCCUAUCGCAGUAUCAGCAAUAGUUCAGCCUUUAAUUAAAUUCGAAUCAAAACUGCAAUUGCCGAUGCGGAGGAUGGACAAGCCCCCCCACCUUUUCGUGCCACUCCCGUGGUCCCUCUUGGAGCCAGGGAAAUUGCAGGAAAAGCAUUCCUGCAUGUUGUGCACAACAAAACUUUCUUGGGAAUUGGGAACAGAAUCUGGGUGGUGAGCUUCCCUGACAGGUGGACAUAAAUCCUGUCAGAUGAAGAAGAGGUUGAGAAGACUUUGGGGACCUGGAGUAUACUGUUCUGUAGCCCCCCGCACCCUCCCCAAAACCCCAGAGACCCCCUUCAUCCCCUACAGACUCCCCAGUAGAUCCCAAAUACCCUUAGAAUGCCCUCAAAAUGCUCCACAGCUUCCCCCCGCCAGACACCCUAUAAACCCUCAGGGACCCUCCCAAACCUCCCUCUAAAACCUCCUGAGGCUCUCUAAAACAACCCAUAGAUCUGCCCAAACCCCUGGCACUCCCCUGCACCCCCCAAAAGGGGCUACCCCAGGUGGCCACAAUUAGUCAUGGACUGCCUGAGCCACUUUUUCGGCUGAUAUGGAUCGCUGCAGGGGAGCCUCUGCUCCGCAGCACCUCCUCACCUGGUGUGCUGCUCAAGGAGGAAGGACAACAACAGCAAAAGGGACUUUUUUGCACCAAAAUAAAAUUAAACUGUGAAUGUUACUUUUCUCAAGGAUUUUAAGAUUUGUAAAUCCCAUGUUCUGAAAUGAUAUGAGGUGUAGCAGGCAAGACCUAGAGAGUUUAGAGAUAAAAGCAGCAUUUUUUCAUAUGUUUUUUAUGAAAAAUAAAGUAUUUUCACUCAGACAUGGCAGGUUCUACCUGCUGCUGCAGGGUUUGGGUAGGGAAUUUGGGGACAUCCAGCAGAUCCCAACACCUCAUUUUUCCUGAAGUGAGGAUUCUGAAAUGGCAAAGGAAAAGGGUCAGGAAAGUUUAGAAGCUGAGGAAAACUACCCAAAAUGUGGUUGCUGAGGCUCUUGCCUGUGUUUUGGGCAGUGAAAGGGUAGUUGGGGUUGGAAGGGCCUCUGGACAUCAACCAAGAAAAUGUCCUGGUCUGGUGCAAUCUCCUCACCUCAGAAUGUUUGGGGUUUGGGAGGUUGUUGUAAGUUGACUGAAUAGUAACACUUAGUGUAACCACUGAAGAUAGAGACAAGACUCCGAGAACAAAGGGCAUUAAAAGCAGGGAACUCCCAGGGGAAUGCUCUCUCCCCACAGGCUGGGUAGGGGAGGGGAAGUCAUUCAGCCUAGGCUGAGGUAGGCCAGGAGCCCCAGACAGAGAAGGCAGGUGAAAAGAAUAAAACCGGGCCAGCCCCUGCAAAACAGAUGGGUGGAGAAACACUGAGAUAUCCCGGGCAGCCCCCGCAGAGAGAGAGAAAAAAAAAGAGAGAAAGCCUCUAUCACCUUAAAAUUUAGUAUCAUGUGCCAGCAGUACAAUGGCAGAGGAAAAAGAGAAGGUGGAAGGCGGGGGCAAGGUGCCCAGCGGUGGGAGUCCUGGGCAGCCUACUGCAAGAUUUCAGCCAGCCUGGGGGGCAGCAGAGCCCGAGACUUUAACCCUUUCUUAGACAAAGGAAACUUUAUGAAACAUUAAUCCUCCUUAAUCUGAAGGAGAAGAGAGACAACCUAAAGUGUAAGAUGCCAGAAAAAGAUGAGAAAGAAAUCCUAAGUGAAAAGAGAUGAUAAAGUAGCCUUUAGCUGAACUCUUUCUUGUACAGCCAUAGACUAAACCAAUUUUCCUGUAACACAAAGAUUACAUUUAGACAGAUGCAAUAGUUUAAGCCAAGAGAGUGACCUGCUGAAGUAACACCGUAUGCAAGACUGAAGCAAACAGAGAAAGAUGAAGAAAAUAUAGUAGUGCCCCCGGUCUUCAGGGAAGAAGAUCGCUGUUCUCAAAACCCUUGGCUCCAGGGGAGCAGAAAAUAGGGAGGACUGUUGUCCUAAAUUAAGAAAAUGUUGGUUUUUAGGACUUAGCAAAGCAUCCUUUAAAAGGAUCCUAUAAACAGUGUUAUUCCAUAAACAGUAGUGAGAGCACUGUACAUAGAAAGAAGAUGUCACAACAGCAAUCUUCUUUGGGCGGUGCCAUGUGUGACAUAGAAACAUAAAAGGUUUCAAUCGUAUUUCCUGUAGAAAACUAUAGUACAAGAGAGACUCCUCUCGCCCUUAAUGAACUGAGAAUUAAUUAUCUGAAGUAGUAGUAAAUUAAUUGAGAAUCCAAAGUUUUGUCUCACUGUACUUUAGUAGAAAUUAGGUGGGAGGAGGAGGAAUGUUUUAGAAAGUUUUCAUUCUGAAUUUUGUGUGUUCCCUUUUGUUACAGUAUAAGUUAAUAAAGGUUUUUUCUUUAUUUCUAAACUUAAA